rnacentral:rRNA from 1 species
AGAACGAACGCUGGCGGCAGGCUUAACACAUGCAAGUCGAGCGCCCCGCAAGGGGAGCGGCAGACGGGUGAGUAACGCGUGGGAACAUACCCUCCGGUUCGGAAUAGCUCAGGGAAACUUGGAUUAAUACCGGAUACGGCCUAGCGGCGAAAGAUUGAUCGCCGGAGGAUUGGCCCGCGUCUGAUUAGCUAGUUGGUGGGGUAAUGGCCCACCAAGGCGACGAUCAGUAGCUGGUCUGAGAGGAUGAUCAGCCACAUUGGGACUGAGACACGGCCCAAACUCCUACGGGAGGUAGCAGUGGGGAAUAUUGGACAAUGGGCGCAAGCCUGAUCCAGCCAUGCCGCGUGAGUGAUGACGGCCUUAGGGUUGUAAAGCUCUUUCGCUAGGGACGAUAAUGACGGUACCUAGACAAGAAGCCCCGGCUAACUUCGUGCCAGCAGCCGC